CUGAUCUAUCGUCAUUUAAUUAGUUAUCCCCGCCAGAUGUCUACAGGUGUCACUUCUGACCCAGUAAACAGCACGGARUAGGGAUGAGAACGAAGCCGGUCUCCUUUCUUUCUCACUCCCUACACAGUUGUCGGCCAUCAUUAUUGUUUAUGCAUCAAGUGUAGUAGUAACGUUGACAAUUAUUAUUUUGCUAUCUCAGUGUAACUCUUAUAUUAACUUUUAAUCAUUCCUAUUUUAUCAAUWAUAAUUAAAUUAUCAAUUUUGAGUGUAUUUUKCACGAUUAGUUAAUCAAGUGAUUUUAUAACCUCAAAAGUACUCAACACGUGACACGAGCUUCCAAUAACAACGGAUUUUGUGUUUGAGCAAUGCCAAGAAAACGCAAAGGGGCUGAUUUGAGCCGCAGUACAAGUAAAGCUCGAAAGUUGCGAAAUAGCAGAUCCGAAAGAACAGAAGAACAAAUCCAGCAACAAAA